rnacentral:rRNA from 1 species
GAUGAACGCUGGCGGCGUGCCUAACACAUGCAAGUCGAACGUGAAGCCCAGGCUGAUUACUUCGGUAUGAUUUUUGGGUGGAAAGUGGCGAACGGGUGAGUAACACGUGGGUGACCUGCCUCAAAGUGGGGGAUAACCAUUGGAAACGAUGGCUAAUACCGCAUGUAUCUGCCGGUAUGGGAAUAUCGGUGGGAAAAGCUCCGGCGCUUUGAGAGGGGCCCGCGGUCGAUUAGCUAGUUGGUGAGGUAAUGGCUCACCAAGGCGACGAUCGAUAGCUGGUCUGAGAGGACGAUCAGUCACACGGGAACUGAGACACGGUCCCGACUCCUACGGGGGGCAGCAGUGAGGAAUAUUGCACAAUGGGGGCAACCCUGAUGCAGCAACGCCGCGUGGGGGAUGAAGGCCCUUGGGUCGUAAACCCCUUUUCUGCGGGAAGAGAACGGACGGUACCGCAGGAAUAAGUCACGGCUAACUACGUGCCAGCCGCCGCCGUAAAAC